rnacentral:rRNA from 1 species
GACGAACGCUGGCGGCGCGCCUAACACAUGCAAGUCGAACGAGCGAGAGAGAGCUUGCUUUCUCAAGCGAGUGGCGAACGGGUGAGUAACGCGUGAGGAACCUGCCUCAAAGAGGGGGACAACAGUUGGAAACGACUGCUAAUACCGCAUAAGCCCACGACCCGGCAUCGGGUAGAGGGAAAAGGAGCAAUCCGCUUUGAGAUGGCCUCGCGUCCGAUUAGCUAGUUGGUGAGGUAACGGCCCACCAAGGCGACGAUCGGUAGCCGGGCUGAGAGGUUGAACGGCCACAUUGGGACUGAGACACGGCCCAGACUCCUACGGGAGGCAGCAGUGGGGAAUAUUGCACAAUGGGGGAAACCCUGAUGCAGCGACGCCGCGUGGAGGAAGAAGGUCUUCGGAUUGUAAACUCCUGUUGUUGAGGAAGAUAAUGACGGUACUCAACAAGGAAGUGACGGCUAACUACGUG